UACGGAGGGGGCAAGCGUUACUCGGAAUUAUUGGGCGUAAAGGGCGCGUAGGCGGCUAUCCAAGUCAGACGUGAAAGGCCUGGGCUCAACCCGGGAACUGCGUUUGAGACUGGGUGGCUGGAGUCCGGGAGAGGUGAGCGGAAUUCCGAGUGUAGAGGUGAAAUUCGUAGAUAUUCGGAGGAACACCAGUGGCGAAGGCGGCUCACUGGUCCGGUACUGACGCUGAGGUGCGAAAGCGUGGGGAGCAAACAGG
rnacentral:rRNA from 1 species